rnacentral:rRNA from 1 species
GCCAGACUCCUACGGGAGGCAGCAGUGGGGGAUAUUGCACAAUGGGGGGAACCCUGAUGCAGCGACGCCGCGUGGGUGAAGGAGUAUUUCGGUAUGUAAAGCCCUAUCGGCAGGGAAGAAGAAAGACGGUGCCUGACUAAGAAGCCCCGGCUAACUACGUGCCAGCAGCCGCGGUAAUACGUAGGGGGCGAGCGUUAUCCGGAUUCACUGGGUGUAAAGGGAGCGUAGGCGGCCAAGCAAGCCAGGGGUGAAAGCCCGGGGCCCAACCCCGGGACUGCCCUUGGAGCUGCAUGGCUGGAGUGCGGGAGGGGCAGGCGGAAUUCCUGGUGUAGCGGUGAAAUGCGUAGAUAUCAGGAGGAACACCGGCGGCGAAGGCGGCCUGCUGGACCGCGACUGACGUUGAGGCUCGAAAGCGUGGGGAGCAAACAGGAUUAGAUACCCUUGUA